GCAUCGUUCGCCACGCAACCCGCGCUGGCUCCUCAGGGCUCUCCUCUAUUUUUUUCCGCAGAUUCACGACCACGUAACAGGACAAACCCGAUCAAGGAUUUUUGGGACGUUUUUUGGCGGAAGAAGAGCGCGCCUUAAGUCCCCUUUUCGGACUGUCGAGAGCGCCCUCGUGUGACGUCUCGGGGGGUCCUGCCGGUUGCGUCGCCGACGGUUUGCCGCAUUCAAACAGAAAACCUAUCAGCGGCUGAGUUCGAACCAUGCAGUCAGUAAUUCCCUGCGGAGAUUCCGCAGAAGCACAGCGAUGCCUACCAGCAAAUGAAACGACAUGUAGAUGGCUGGUGCAGUCCGCUGUACUUCAACCCGGCUACCGUAUUACUUCAGUCCAGUCCAGUCCGCUUCACUUCCACAAUCCUCUUCCGUCCGGCUCCAACUACCCCACUGAAGCUGUGGACCGGUUUUAUCCAUCUUUUACCCCGUAUUAACACUGCGGCUGAUGAGGGCUGUUAAACCAACCAUCAGCCUCGCUGUCAAUACGAGGUAAGGGCUGACAUACAGCGACUGAGGGAACAACCCACCAAUGACAGACGACAAUGGGGGGCGGGGCUAUCACCGUCUACCAAUCACGGUGGCUGCAAUGAGGAUACACGACUCGCGCAUGGAAAGGGUUCACUACAGAACUAUCAAAUGAUCGAAUGAAAAUUAGCGUGUUCACUCAACAAAUACUGAGGAACACAUAAACCUAAAGAAUGUGUUACCAGAGGAGUUUUGGUGUUGAAAAUGUUACAUUUACACAACUCUCGGUGUCAACGAAUAUUGAUCAUGAUGUGUUACCAGAGGAGUUUUGGUGUUGAACAUGUUACAUUUACACAACUCUCGGUGUCAACUAAUAUUGAUCAUGAUGUGUUACCACAGGAGUUUUGGUAUUUAACAUGUUACAUUUACACAACUCUCGGUGUCAACUACUAUUCAUCAGUGCAACACUAAAUUCUAGUUUUUGGAGCGGUCAAACAGUUGUGUUCGUUACACCUUAAGAGCUGAAUACAGCAAUUCAAGUUGGGGAUGAUGUAAAGACAAAGCAAAACUAGUUCUAGUUAGACAGAUGGACUUCAAUGUAAAGAUACAUAUAGGUGGAUCACUCACGCCUUCAGUGUACUUUCUCUCUGUGCUGUGUCUUUUUAACAUUUACAUGUAUGUGUCGAAAUAAAGGCAACACGACACGGAAGUUGCUUGGAAGUGGUUCGAUA